rnacentral:rRNA from 1 species
GAUGAACGCUGGCGGCGUGCCUAACACAUGCAAGUCGAACGAAGCAUCUCGUUCUGAUUUCUUCGGAUUGAAGAACUUGAUGACUGAGUGGCGGACGGGUGAGUAACGCGUGGGUAACCUGCCUUAUACAGGGGGAUAACAGUUAGAAAUGACUGCUAAUACCGCAUAAGCGCACAGUACUGCAUGGUACAGUGUGAAAAAACUCCGGUGGUAUAAGAUGGACCCGCGUCUGAUUAGCUAGUUGGUAAGGUAACGGCUUACCAAGGCGACGAUCAGUAGCCGGCCUGAGAGGGUGAACGGCCACAUUGGGACUGAGACACGGCCCAAACUCCUACGGGAGGCAGCAGUGGGGAAUAUUGCACAAUGGGGGAAACCCUGAUGCAGCGACGCCGCGUGAGCGAUGAAGUAUUUCGGUAUGUAAGGCUCUAUCAGCAGGGAAGAAAAUGACGGUACCUGACUAAGAAGCCCCGGCUAACUACGUGCCAGCAGCCGCGGUAAGAC